rnacentral:rRNA from 1 species
CCUACGGGGGGCAGCAGUGAGGAAUAUUGGUCAAUGGACGAGAGUCUGAACCAGCCAAGUAGCGUGAAGGAUGAAUGCCCUAUGGGUUGUAAACUUCUUUUAUCAAGGAAUAAAACGAGGCACGUGUGCCUGUAUGCAUGUACUUUAUGAAUAAGGAUCGGCUAACUCCGUGCCAGCAGCCGCGGUAAUACGGAGGAUCCGAGCGUUAUCCGGAUUUAUUGGGUUUAAAGGGAGCGUAGAUGGGUUGUUAAGUCAGUUGUGAAAGUUUGCGGCUCAACCGUAAAAGUGCAAUUGAUACUGGCAGUCUUGAGUACAGGUGAGGUAGGCGGAAUUCGUGGUGUAGCGGUGAAAUGCUUAGAUAUCACGAAGAACCCCGAUUGCGAAGGCAGCUUACUAAACUGUGACUGACAUUGAUGCUCGAAAGUGUGGGUAUCGAACAGGAUUAGAUACCCUGGUAGUC